rnacentral:rRNA from 1 species
AUACGUAGGGGGCGAGCGUUGUCCGGAAUGAUUGGGCGUAAAGGGCGCGUAGGCGGCCCGGUAAGUCUGGAGUGAAAGUCCUGUUUUUAAGAUGGGAAUUGCUUUGGAUACUGUCGGGCUUGAGUGCAGGAGAGGUAAGUGGAAUUCCCAGUGUAGCGGUGAAAUGCGUAGAGAUUGGGAGGAACACCAGUGGCGAAGGCGACUUACUGGACUGUAACUGACGCUGAGGCGCGAAAGUGUGGGGAGCAAACAGGAUUAGAUACCCUGGUAGUCCACACGGUAAACGAUGAAUGCUAGGUGUAGGGGGUAUCGACCCCUUCUGUGCCGCAGUCAACACAAUAAGCAUUCCGCCUGGGGAGUACGGCCGCAAGGUUGAAACUCAAAUGAAUUGACGGGG